rnacentral:rRNA from 1 species
CCUACGGGAGGCAGCAGUGGGGAAUAUUGGACAAUGGGGGGGAACCCUGAUCCAGCCAUGCCGCGUGUGUGAAGAAGGCCCUCGGGUUGUAAAGCACUUUCAGCGAGGAAGAACGCCUAGCGGUUAAUACCCGCUAGGAAAGACAUCACUCGCAGAAGAAGCACCGGCUAACUCCGUGCCAGCAGCCGCGGUAAUACGGAGGGUGCAAGCGUUAAUCGGAAUUACUGGGCGUAAAGCGCGCGUAGGUGGCUUGAUAAGCCGGUUGUGAAAGCCCCGGGCUCAACCUGGGAACGGCAUCCGGAACUGUCAAGCUAGAGUGCAGGAGAGGAAGGUAGAAUUCCCGGUGUAGCGGUGAAAUGCGUAGAGAUCGGGAGGAAUACCAGUGGCGAAGGCGGCCUUCUGGACUGACACUGACACUGAGGUGCGAAAGCGUGGGUAGCAAACAGGAUUAGAUACCCUGGUAGUCCACGCCGUAAACGAUGUCGACCAGCCGUUGGGUGCCUAGCGCACUUUGUGGCGAAGUUAACGCGAUAAGUCGACCGCCUGGGGAGUACGGCCGCAAGGUUAAAACUCAAAUGAAUUGACGGA